rnacentral:rRNA from 1 species
CAGUCGCCGCGGUAAUACGUAGGGUGCAAGCGUUAAUCGGAAUUACUGGGCGUAAAGCGUGCGUAGGCGGUUUGUUAAGUCUGCUGUGAAAUCCCCGGGCUCAACCUGGGAAUGGCAGUGGAUACUGGCAAGCUAGAGUGUGUCAGAGGAUGGUGGAAUUCCCGGUGUAGCGGUGAAAUGCGUAGAGAUCGGGAGGAACAUCAGUGGCGAAGGCGGCCAUCUGGGACAACACUGACGCUGAGGCACGAAAGCGUGGGGAGCAAACAGGAUUAGAUACCCCCGUAGUCCCUGUCUCUUAUAC